rnacentral:lncRNA from 1 species
GCCCAGAGAGCUGACUCACACAGAAAAAGGUUCCAGUCGUCUUUUCCUGUCUCCCUGCUGCAGGUGAGCAAAACCCUAGCUUUGUUUGGGAGGCGGACUCCAGGAAGGUGCCAUUUAAUAUAAAUUGGAGGUAGGAAGCUAUCUGGCCAAAGUUCCUUAUUUUGGAGGUGAAGAAAUGGAAAGAAAACGAAGAUCCUCAUUUGAAAACGGAAAAAGAAAAGAAAUGGAGGCAUCAUGUGAUAUUUGCCUAAAUAUCCCUAAAGAGAUCCAUUUAUUUUUAGUGUUGAAUUAAAAACCCUCAAAGGAAAAGAGAAAUUUUGAUCUCGGAGAAGAGCUGUUUCAUCCCAGAAAUCCCUCAUGUUGCAUCCAGGAAGCCGAGCCUGAAAGUGCAGCGUGGGAUCACAGGGUCAAGAUGUUUCCUGGAUAGCAGCUCCAUCACUGCUCCGUCUGAACUCACAACGUCCCCGCCAUCCACACCCCUGUCCUCAACUCAGAGCACGUAUAAGGAUGAGCAGCCACCAGCAAACAAGGGGCUCAUUUUAUGUGUGCGUUGCUGCCUCUCGGUGUCAGGGGCACUGGAUUUUGUUGACUCCCCCUCGUUCACUCAUGCAGACCUGUGUAGGCGAUCUUUCCCGGUCCAGUUACUGUCACUUGUCACCCGUCCACUUGUAGAUACAGAUGACCCUCCUACUUAGACUGCACACUCCUUUCCAUAUCACUGCCCAGCCCAGCUCCAAAUUUCUGCCAAACUAGUGCCUCGUGGGGAGAAGGCCCUCAGGACGUAUUUGCCAGUUGGCGGGUCAGCAUUUUCUCUAAGGGCAUUAUGGAAAGCAGCAGUGGACUUGGCCACUUCCAGCAGUUCUACUUUAAACACAAAGUUCCUUGGCUUCCAAUUUCUACAUUAAAGUGCUCCAGUUCCUCUGGUCAGCAGAGAACAUCCUUGGGGUCUCGCAGCCCCUGCACAGACAUCAUCCGGGCAGCCCAGAGACAAUUCUUGUGAGCUUCUGUGAGCCAAGUCCAUGCCUACUGCUUCGUUUUAAAAUGCCCCAAAUACAAACCCCUUUUGUCAUUUAGAAGAGCAUGGAAAAGCCUCUUCUGCCCCCACGGAAUAACAAAG